CCUUAUCAUUUAGAGGAAGGAGAAGUCGUAACAAGGUUUCCGUAGGUGAACCUGCGGAAGGAUCAUUGUCGAAACCUGCUAAGCAGUACGACCCGCGAACUUGUUUCAGAAUUGGGAGCGAUCUAGCCUCUCGGCUUGGAUGGCCCCGUUGUUGGCUGGAAUGUUGCUCGGUGCUUUCCCCUGCUCUAUGCACGCGGCAAGCACCGUAACAUGCCCUCCUGCAAAAAACUAACCCCGGCGCAAAUCGCGCCAAGGAACUCGAACGAAUGAGCGUGCUCCCCUUGGCCCGGAAACGGUGCCCAUGUGAGAGUCGCGUCGUAUUCGAUAUGUCAAAAAUGACUCUCGGCAACGGAUAUCUCGGCUCUCGCAUCGAUGAAGAACGUAGCGAAAUGCGAUACUUGGUGUGAAUUGCAGAAUCCCGUGAACCAUCGAGUCUUUGAACGCAAGUUGCGCCCGAAGCCAUCCGGUUGAGGGCACGUCUGCCUGGGCGUCACACACCGUUGCCCUCCUAACACCACGUGCCUUCGAGGCUGCGUCGGUUGCGAGGGCGUACAUUGGCUUCCCAUGAGCUGUGCCUUGUGGUUGGCCCAAAUUCUAGUCAUUGGCGACCAAUGCCACGACAAUUGUGGUUGUCGAACCUUCGGUGCCCCGUCGUCGGUUUUGGUCGUGCACGAUGCAAGGACCCCAACGCAUCCAACAUCGAUGCUUUCGAUGCGACCCCAGGUCAGGCGGGGCUACCCGCUGAGUUUAAGCAUAUCAAUAAGCGGAG
rnacentral:misc_RNA from 1 species